GUUGCAACAAAAUCAAGGGGCAAUUCGUAUCGUACAAUUGACGCUCCGGAAACUCGAUUUUAUCGAAUUUUCACUGGGAAAUUUUGACUUUUUUGGGUUAUCAGAAGAAAAUCCCAACUUUAUCGGAUUAUCCGGCACAUAUCACAAUGUCAAGAAGCGACUUCAUGGACAUCUGCCAUUGACUUCUACAUGAACAGAUGGUAAAUAAUUCGGAUUCUGCAUCUUCUUAUUGUGCUCCUGUCCAGUGAAGGGAAAAUCACCCAGGACUUAAGCAGAUGUGUCAGCCCUGGCAGAGCCAUGCAUCAUCAUCAAAACCCUGCUUAAAAUGAAAUUGGAUUUCCAGUGACAGUUCAUGCAGCGAUUCAGUGUAAUUCCAUUAGGAUAGAUAAACUUUAGCAUUGCCGGGGACGGCUUUUGGUACUUACAAAUGCUACAUGUUCCUGCCAAUAUACCUACAGUCAUUCCUCUACCACCGGAGUGAUCCAGAUCUUUUAUCCUGCAGCUCUGUGGGGUUACAGGAGCGUAGAGAGACUGGGUUAUAAUAUAAAGACUGUCUGUCUGUCUUAAGGCACCAUUAAAAGGGUCAUUUAUGACCGCCAUGCAGAGCGAGUUCAGUCUCUCUGAAAUGGAUGCAAAUAUUGCACAUUUUGCACCAUUUAUUAAAGGUUCUUGCUUCACAAUA